ACUGCAGUAUGGCCAGGGAGAUGAUGCAUUCACAGGAAGCAGUAACUCACAUACCACUGAAGUAAGAUCUGAAUUAAAGAUGCAAGCAAACAGCAGUGUGGGAGCAGAGGAGGACAGAGUAAUGGAUGCUGUGUGUGGAAAAGUCUCAUGGAGCAGGGAGAAGCUGGAAGCUAGAACUGUCUCCUGGUGGUGUGGUGCUGAGCUGGAGAAAGGGACUAAGGUAAGUGAAUGCCAUAAAUUUUCCUACUGGCUCUCAUAAGGCUGGUGUCAUGCUGACCUGGGGUGCAGGAAUCUCCAGACUGGCUUCUGGAUUUCUCACAAAGAGCAUUGGUCUAUAUGUCACUGUUGAGUCAGUGUCUCUGUGAGGGGAAGGAUGGUUCUCCUCUGGUCAGAGGUAUUGAGUGCUCCCUGGGCCUCCCAUGCUGGAGCCUGUGGAAGAGGAUGGGCUGGCUUUCUGGCUAUUGUUAUAUUAUCACUGUGAAAAAUUAGUGAUAAGAAUUUCACUGCUGUGUACUCCAGUGUCAUCACUGUAUACUCAUUUUAUCCAAUAAUUACUCACAUCUGUGAAUGAGAUUAGAGAAACUGGACAAGCUAAAAGUAUUGAUUAACCAUUAUGGCUCCAUCUUGAAGUAGAGGGAUAGGUUUUGGAAGUAAGGACCAGUUCAUUUGUCUCCAGGAAAUCAAUUCGUAUUUUUUAUACUCUCUAGAUGUGAUUAGUCCCUAAUGAGGCCAAAGUGAAUAGCUUUUCUUUAUACUUCCUUUAUUCUAUUUUUGAAAUUACCUUAACGGGUCAUAUAAGAUCAUUUUUGGUAAUAAAAUAAUGAUCUAUAUAGAUAAUUUGUAGGGAUAAUAUGUACUCUAAACUCUAACCUUUGAAAAGGAAGAUUUGUUAAUAAGUGCCUGCUUCUCUCUCUGCAGUCCUUAGACCUAUUAAAAAUUCAAUUAGUCAAUGAUUUUGUGACAAACAGAAAUAGGGGAAAUAAGUGAGACCAGGAAGGAUGCACCAGAUUAGCAUAUUAAAUAUAUAGGUCAGAGUAAUAUUUGCUUGCUCCCUAGAAAAUUUUAUAUUUAAUAUAUCUGCAUUAGUAGCAUGCAAGUUUCAACAAGAUUUGCAACACAUCAGGGAAAAAAA
ensembl:lncRNA